GAUGAACGCUGGCGGCGUGCCUAAUACAUGCAAGUCGAGCGAACAGAUGAGGAGCUUGCUCCUCUGACGUUAGCGGCGGACGGGUGAGUAACACGUGGAUAACCUACCUAUAAGACUGGGAUAACUUCGGGAAACCGGAGCUAAUACCGGAUAAUAUAUUGAACCGCAUGGUUCAAUAGUGAAAGACGGUUUUGCUGUCACUUAUAGAUGGAUCCGCGCCGCAUUAGCUAGUUGGUAAGGUAACGGCUUACCAAGGCAACGAUGCGUAGCCGACCUGAGAGGGUGAUCGGCCACACUGGAACUGAGACACGGUCCAGACUCCUACGGGAGGCAGCAGUAGGGAAUCUUCCGCAAUGGGCGAAAGCCUGACGGAGCAACGCCGCGUGAGUGAUGAAGGUCUUCGGAUCGUAAAACUCUGUUAUUACGGAAGAACAAAUGUGUAAGUAACUAUGCACGUCUUGACGGUACCUAAUCAGAAAGCCACGGCUAACUACGUG
rnacentral:rRNA from 1 species